GUGUUUCAGCCGCACACAUACUAAAAUUGGAACGGUACAGAGAAGAUUGGCAUGGCCUCUGUACAAGGAUGACCCACAAAUUUGUGAAGCGUUCCAUGUUUUU
rnacentral:snRNA from 1 species